CUCUUCUCAGUUGACUGGGAUGACUAGAGGCUGGUAAUGACAAGGGGCUGAAGUUUUCACUACCAUGAGUUGUCACAUCUAAUGGACUUGACAGCCGGAGUGUUUUUAAACACUAAAGUCUCUCUAGCAGUCUGACACCUUCAAUAAGAGACAGUCACAUCUAUUCUUUCUGAAGACAACUACCUGGAGGAUUCAUCUACGUGACAAGAACCUUGGCUUCCACAACAACCCCCUUACCUUAUCUCAAGCUGAUUUCAACUCUUCAGGCAGAGCUUAACCCUUUCAACCAAUUGCCAAUCAGGAAAUCUUUGAAUCCACCCAUGACUUGUAAGUUCCCCCACUUGCAGUUGCCCAACCUUUCUGCACUGAACCAAUGCAUAUCUCACAUAUUGAUAUGUCUUAUGUCUCCCUAAAACACAUAAAACCAAGCUGUAACCCAACUACCUUGGGCAUGUGUGCUCAAGGCUGUGGUCAUGGAUCAUGAUCCUUAAUCUUUGCAAAAUAAACUUUUAAAUUCAUUGAGA
rnacentral:lncRNA from 1 species